GUGCCCGUAGCUCAGCCGGAUAGAGUGCUUGACUACGAAUCAAGAGGUCGUGGGUUCGAAUCCCUCCGGGCACGCCA
rnacentral:tRNA from 1 species